UUAAGCCAUGCGAGUCGAGAGGGUUCGGCCCUCGGCAGACUGCUCAAUAACACGUGGAGAACUUGCCCUAGGCUGGAGGAUAACGUCGGGAAACUGACGAUAAUACUCCAUAGCCCAUCCUUCCUGGAACGGUGGAUGGGUGAAAGCUCCGGCGGCCUAGGAUAGCUCUGCGGCCUAUCAGGUUGUAGCGAGGGUAACGUCCUCGCUAGCCUACGACGGGUAUGGGUGUUGGGGGACAUCGCCCAGAGAUGGAUUCUGAGACACGAAUCCAGGCCCUACGGGGCGCAGCAGGCGCGAAAACUGCACAAUGUGGGAAACCACGAUGCGGGAAACCCAAGUGCCAGCGCUAUGCGUUGGCUGUCCUCCAGUGUUCGUAACUGGGGAAGAAAGUGCUGGGUAAGACGGGUGCCAGCCGCCGCGGUAAUGCCCGCAGCACAAGUGGUGGUCAUUAUUAUUGGGCCUAAAGCGUCCGUAGCUGGCCUGUUAGAUGCCUGGGUAAAUCGAUGCGCUCAACGCAUCGAAUUCCGGGUAGACCGGCAGGCUUGGGACCGGGAGAGAUGUGAGCUACUCGAGGGGUAGGGGUAAAAUCCUGUAAUCCUUCGGGGAGGACCAGUGGCGAAGGCGUCACAUUAGAACGGCUCCGACAGUGAGGGACGAAGCCCUGGGGCGCAAACCGGAUUAGAUACCCGGGUAGUCCAGGGUGUAAACGCUGCAGACUUGGUGUCGGUGAUCCUACGAGGGUUGCCGGUGCCGUAGAGAAGUUGUUUAGUCUGCCGCCUGGGGAGUACGGUCGCAAGACUGAAACUUAAAGGAAUUGGCGGGGGAGCAC
rnacentral:rRNA from 1 species